rnacentral:rRNA from 1 species
AGCAGCCGCGGUAAUUCCAGCUCCAAUAGCGUAUAUUAAAGUUGUUGCAGUUAAAAAGCUCGUAGUUGAAUUUCGGGAUCAAUACGUCGGUCGUGCUUCGGUACGUACUGGCGUAAUUGAUUUCUCCCUUCUGACGAACCAUGAUGUCAUUAACUUGGUGUCAUGGGAAAUCAGGACUGUUACUUUGAAAAAAUUGAGUGUUUAAAGCAGGCUCACGCUUGAAUACAUUAGCAUGGAAUAAUGAAAUAGGACGUUCGAUCCUAUUUUGUUGGUUUCUAGGAUUGACGUAAUGAUUAAUAGGGAUAGUUGGGGGCAUUAGUAUUCAAUUGUCAGAGGUGAAAUUCUUGGAUUUAUUGAAGACUAACUACUGCGAAAGCAUUUGCCAAGGAUGUUUU